UAAGACUUCACCUCAAAAAGCUUUGGAUUAUUUUUGGAUUAUUGAUGCAGAGGCUCCAGCAGAGAUAAUGAACAUGAGAUUUACACAAGCUCCAGUCUGGAUCCAGAACACCUGAGAAGAGAUGAUGCCAACCCCUCAGAGGACCUCAGAUGAUGCUAACCCAGAGACAACAUACAGAACUACCACAUUUUGCUAUAAGUUUGAUUACAUAAUUGCUGUUAAUAGUGUUAAUCGUCUGUUUGUUUACGUCUUUUAUUGAUUUUUCCGAACAUUUCUG
ensembl:lncRNA